CUCAGGGAUGAACGCUAGCGGCAGGCCUAAUACAUGCAAGUCGAACGGCAGCACGGUGUAGCAAUACAUUGGUGGCGAGUGGCGCACGGGUGCAUAACACGUAUGUAAUUUGCCCAUAACUGGGAGAUAGCCUUCCGAAAGUAAGACUAAUGCCCCAUGGUCUCCGACGACGGCAUCAGACUCGGAGUAAAGGCCUCGGCCGGUGAUGGAUGGGGAUGCGUCCGAUUAGCUUGUUGGCGGGGUAACGGCCCACCAAGGCGACGAUCAGUAGGGGUUCUGAGAGGAAGGUCCCCCACAUUGGAACUGAGACACGGUCCAAACUCCUACGGGAGGCAGCAGUGAGGAAUAUUGGUCAAUGGGCGAGAGCCUGAACCAGCCAAGUAGCGUGCAGGAUGACGGCCCUAUGGGUUGUAAACUGCUUUUAUAAGGGAAUAAAGUGAGUCUCGUGAGACUUUUUGCAUGUACCUUAUGAAUAAGGACCGGCUAAUUCCGUG
rnacentral:rRNA from 1 species